UUGUUGCUGGUCCCUGUAUGGGGGCAUGUGCACGCUCCGUUUACACAUCCACUCACACCUGUGCACCCUCUGUAGUUCUAUGGCCUGGGGGGCUCUGUCCUCCUGCUGUGGUCCUACGUCUUUACACACACACCGUAGCAAAGUCUCAUGGAAUGUAUGUCGCGUUUAACGCAAUGAAAUACAACUUUCAGCAACGGAUCUCUUGGCUCUCGCAUCGAUGAAGAACGCAGCGAAAUGCGAUAAGUAAUGUGAAUUGCAGAAUUCAGUGAAUCAUCGAAUCUUUGAACGCACCUUGCGCCCUUUGGCUAUUCCGAAGGGCAUGCCUGUUUGAGUAUCAUGAACACCUCAACUCUCAUGGCUUGCCCAUGAUGAGCUUGGACUUUUGGGGGUCUUGCUGGCCUGUGGGCCGGCUCCUCUCAAAUGAAUUAGCUUGCCAGUGUUCGGUGGGCAUCACAGGUGUGAUAACUAUCUACGCUUGUGGUCUUCCGCCAGGUAAUCUUCAGCAAUGAAGGUUCGCUGGAGCUCAUAAACGUCUCUCCUUGGUGGGGACAGAUUUGACCAUUUGAUCUCAAAUCAGGUAGGACUACCCGCUGAACUUAAGCAUAUCAAUAAGCGGAGGAAAAGAAACUAACAAGGAUUCCCCUAGUAACUGCGAGUGAAGCGGGAAGAGCUCAAAUUUAAAAUCUGGCGUGCCUCUGGCCGUCCGAGUUGUAGUCUGGAGAAGCGUUUUCCGUGUUGGACCGUGUAUAAGUCUCUUGGAACAGGGCGUCAUAGAGGGUGAGAAUCCCGUCUUUGACACGGACUACCAAUGCUUUGUGAUGCGCUC
rnacentral:rRNA from 1 species